rnacentral:rRNA from 1 species
AACAAGGAUUCCCCUAGUAACUGCGAGUGAAGCGGGAAAAGCUCAAAUUUGAAAUCUGACGGUCCUUGGCCGUCCGAGUUGUAAUCUAGAGAAGUGUUACCCGCGCUGGACCGUGUACAAGUCUCCUGGAAUGGAGCGUCAUAGAGGGUGAGAAUCCCGUCUCUGACACGGACUACCAGGGCUUUGUGGUAUGCUCUCAAAGAGUCGAGUUGUUUGGGAAUGCAGCUCAAAAUGGGUGGUAAAUUCCAUCUAAAGCUAAAUAUUGGCGAGAGACCGAUAGCGAACAAGUACCGUGAGGGAAAGAUGAAAAGAACUUUGGAAAGAGAGUUAAACAGUACGUGAAAUUGCUGAAAGGGAAACGCUUGAAGUCAGUCGCGUUAGCCGGGGAUCAGCCUCGCAUUUGUGUGGUGCACUUUCCGGUUGACGGGUCAGCAUCAAUUUUGACUGCUGGAAAAAGUCCUGAGGAAUGUGGCAGCUCCGGCUGUGUUAUAGCCUCUGGUCGCAUACAGUGGUUGGGAUUGAGGAACUCAGCACGCCGCAAGGCCGGGUUUCGACCACGUCCGUGCUUAGGAUGCUGGCAUAAUGGCUUUAAGCGACCCGUCUUGAAACACGGACCAAGGAGUCUAACAUGCCUGCGAGUGUUUGGGUGGAAAACCCGAGCGCGUAAUGAAAGUGAAAGUUGAGAUCCCUGUCGUGGGGAGCAUCGACGCCCGGACCAGAACUUUUGGGACGGAUCCGCGGUAGAGCAUGUAUGUUGGGACCCGAAAGAUGGUGAACUAUGCCUGAAUAGGGUGAAGCCAGAGGAAACUCUGGUGGAGGCUCGUAGCGAUUCUGACGUGCAAAUCGAUCGUCAAAUUUGGGUAUAGGGGCGAAAGACUAAUCGAACC